rnacentral:rRNA from 1 species
AGCGGCGGACGGGUGAGUAAUGCCUGGGAAAUUGCCCUGAUGUGGGGGAUAACCAUUGGAAACGAUGGCUAAUACCGCAUAAUAGCUUCGGCUCAAAGAGGGGGACCUUCGGGCCUCUCGCGUCAGGAUAUGCCCAGGUGGGAUUAGCUAGUUGGUGAGGUAAGGGCUCACCAAGGCGACGAUCCCUAGCUGGUCUGAGAGGAUGAUCAGCCACACUGGAACUGAGACACGGUCCAGACUCCUACGGGAGGCAGCAGUGGGGAAUAUUGCACAAUGGGCGCAAGCCUGAUGCAGCCAUGCCGCGUGUAUGAAGAAGGCCUUCGGGUUGUAAAGUACUUUCAGCGGUGAGGAAGGCAGGUACGUUAAUAGCGUGCUUGUUUGACGUUAGCUACAGAAGAAGCACCGGCUAACUCCGUGCCAGCAGCCGCGGUAAUACGGAGGGUGCGAGCGUUAAUCGGAAUUACUGGGCGUAAAGCGCAUGCAGGUGGUUUGUUAAGUCAGAUGUGAAAGCCCGGGGCUCAACCUCGGAAUUGCAUUUGAAACUGGCAGA